AGCAGCCGCGGUAAUUCCAGCUCCAAUAGCGUAUAUUAAAGUUGUUGCAGUUAAAAAGCUCGUAGUUGAAUUUCGGGGUUAGUAGGUUGGUCAUGCCUCUGGUAUGUACUGGUCUCACUGAUUCCUCCUUCCUGAUGAGCCGUAAUGCCAUUAAUUUGGUGUUGCGGGGAAUUUGGACUGUUACUUUGAAAAAAUUAGAGUGUUUAAAGCAAGCUAACGCUUGAAUACAUUAGCAUGGAAUAAUGAAAUAGGACGUUCGAUCCUAUUUUGUUGGUUUCUAGGAUUGACGUAAUGAUUAAUAGGGGUAGUUGGGGGCAUUAGUAUUCAAUUGUCAGAGGUGAAAUUCUUGGAUUUAUUGAAGACUAACUACUGCGAAAGCAUUUGCCAAGGAUGUUUUCAUUAAUCAAGAACGAAAGUUAGGGGAUCGAAGACGAUCAGAUACCGUCGUAGUCUUAACCAUAAACUAUGCCGACUAGGGAUCGGAUGAUGUUAAUUUUUUAAUGACUCAUUCGGCGCCUUACG
rnacentral:rRNA from 1 species